GGGUCAGUAGGUUGGUCGUGCCACCGGUACGUACUGGUCUCACUGAUUCCUCCUUCCUGAAGAACCGUAAUGCCAUUAAUUUGGUGUUGCGGGGAAACAGGACUGUCACUUUGGAAAAAUUAGAGUGUUUAAAGCAAGCUAACGCUUGAAUACAUUAGCAUGGAAUAAUGAAAUAGGACGAUCGAUCCUAUUUUGUUGGUUUCUAGGAUUGACGUA
rnacentral:rRNA from 1 species